UAAUACUGGAUAGGCAAUUAUUCCUGUAAUGGUUUUUUGUUUAAAUGUUUUUUCGCCUAAGGAUGGGUCUGCGGCCGAUUAGGUAGUUGGUUAGGUAAUGGCUUACCAAGCCUUUGAUCGGUACGGGUUGUGAGAGCAAGAGCCCGGAGAUGGAACCUGAGACAAGGUUCCAGGCCCUACGGGGUGCAGCAGGCGCGAAACCUCCGCAAUGUGAGAAAUCGCGACGGGGGGAUCCCAAGUGCCAUUCUUAAUGGGAUGGCUUUUCAUUAGUGUAAAGAGCUUUUGGAAUAAGAGCUGGGCAAGACCGGUGCCAGCCGCCGCGGUAACACCGGCAGCUCUAGUGGUAGCAGUUUUUAUUGGGCCUAAAGCGUCCGUAGCCGGUUUAAUAAGUCUCUGGUGAAAUCCUGCAGCUUAACUGUGGGAAUUGCUGGAGAUACUAUUAGACUUGAGAUCGGGAGAGGUUAGAGGUACUCCCAGGGUAGAGGUGAAAUUCUGUAAUCCUGGGAGGACCGCCUGUUGCGAAGGCGUCUGACUGGAACGAUUCUGGCGGUGAGGGACGAAAGCUAGGGGCGCGAACCGGAUUAGAUACCCGGGUAGUCCUAGCUGUAAACGAUGCGGACUUGGUGU
rnacentral:rRNA from 1 species